GGUUCAAUACACCAUAAAAGCACAGUUGCAAAUGUUGAGGUUUAAACUAGUUUCCUUUUGGCUGGAAAAGCUCAAAAACGAUGUUUAAGUGUUUCUGCCUUGGUUUCCAUCAGAACAGCCUGUAAUGGUCAUGUUCUGAUGCCAGGAUGCUGUCAAACAGGUCAAUACACCCUAAAAGCAUAGAUGCAUAUGCCGUGGUUUAAACUAGUUUUCUUAUGGCCUGACAAGCUCAAAAAUGAUGUUUUAGUGUUUCUGCAUUGGUUCCAUUCAAAACAGCCUCUACUGGUCAUGUUCUGAUGCCAGGAUACUGUCAAACAGGUCAAUACACCCUAAAAGCAUAGUUGCAUAUGCCGUGGUUUAAACUAGUUUUCUUUUGGCUAGAAAAGCUCAAAAACGAUGUUUUAGUGUUUCUGCAUUGGUUUCCAUCAGAACAGCCUCUAAUUGUCAUGUUCUGAUGCCAGGAUUCUGUCAAUUAGGUCAAUACACCCUAAAAGCAUAGUUGCAUAUGCUGUGGUUUAAACUAAUUUUCUUUUGGCUAGAAAAGCUCAAAAAAGAAUGUUUUAGUGUUUCUGCGUUGGUUUCCAUUAGAACAGCCUCUAAUGGUCAUGUUCUGAUGCCAGGAUACUGUCAAACAGGUCAAUACACCCUAAAAGCAUAGUUGCAUAUGCCGUGGUUUAAACUAGUUUUCUUAUGGCCUGAAAAGCUCAAAAACAAUGUUUUAGUGUUUAUGCAUUGGUUUCUAACAUUACAGCUUAAGAUGGUCAUGUUCUGAUACCAGGCAACUUUAAAACAGCUCAAAACACCAUAAAAGCACAGUUGCAAAUGCCUUGGUUUAAACUAGUGUUCUUAUGAUCUGAAAAGCUCAACAACAAUGUUUUAGUGUUUCUGCAUUGGUUUCCACCUGAACAGCCUCUAAUGGUCUUGUUCUGAUGCCAGAAUACUGUCAAACAGCUCAAUGCAUCCUAAAAGCACAGUUGCAAAUGUCAAGGUUUAAACUAGUGUUCUUAUGAUCUGAACAGCUCAAAAACGAUGUUUUAGUGUUUAUGCAUUGGUUUCAUUCAGAACAG
rnacentral:lncRNA from 1 species